rnacentral:rRNA from 1 species
UACGGAGGGUGCGAGCGUUAAUCAGAAUCACUGGGCGUAAAGCGCGCGUAGGCGGCUUUUCAAGUCAGGGGUGAAAUCCCACGGCCCAACCGUGGAACUGCCUUUGAAACUGUAGAGCUUGAGUGUCGGAGAGGGUGGCGGAAUUCCAGGUGUAGGAGUGAAAUCCGUAGAUAUCUGGAGGAACACCGGUGGCGAAGGCGGCCACCUGGACGACAACUGACGCUGAGGUGCGAAAGCGUGGGUAGCAAACAGG